rnacentral:rRNA from 1 species
GACGGAGGGUGCAAGCGUUGUUCGGAAUCACUGGGCGUAAAGCGCGUGUAGGCGGUCCGGUAAGUCGAGUGUGAAAGCCCGAGGCUCAACCUCGGAAGUGCACUCGAAACUGUCGGGCUUGAGUACGGGAGAGGGAAGCGGAAUUCCUGGUGUAGAGGUGAAAUUCGUAGAUAUCAGGAGGAACACCGGUGGCGAAGGCGGCUUCCUGGACCGAUACUGACGCUGAGACGCGAAAGCGUGGGGAGCAAACAGG